rnacentral:rRNA from 1 species
CCUACGGGGUGCAGCAGUGAGGAAUAUUGGUCAAUGGGCGCGAGCCUGAACCAGCCAAGUCGCGUGAGGGAUGACGGUCCUAUGGAUCGUAAACCUCUUUUAUAUGGGAAUAAAGUGUGGGAUGUGUCCUAUUUUGUAUGUACCUUAUGAAUAAGGAUCGGCUAACUCCGUGCCAGCAGCCGCGGUAAUACGGAGGAUCCGAGCGUUAUCCGGAUUUAUUGGGUUUAAAGGGUGCGUAGGCGGCCUUUUAAGUCAGCUGUGAAAGUCUGUGGCUCAACCAUAGAAUUGCCGUUGAAACUGGGGGGCUUGAGUAUGUUUGAGGCAGGCGGAAUGCGUGGUGUAGCGGUGAAAUGCUUAGAUAUCACGAAGAACCCCGAUUGCGAAGGCAGCCUGCCAAGCCAUGACUGACGCUGAUGCACGAAAGCGUGGGGAUCAAACAGGAUUAGAUACCCCUGUAGUC